rnacentral:rRNA from 1 species
GAUGAACGCUGGCGGCGUGCCUAAUACAUGCAAGUCGAGCGAAUGACGAGGAGCUUGCUCCUCUGAUUUAGCGGCGGACGGGUGAGUAACACGUGGGUAACCUGCCUGUAAGACGGGGAUAACUCCGGGAAACCGGAGCUAAUACCGGAUGAUAACGAGAAGCGCCUGCUUCUUUUUUGAAAGUCGGUUUCGGCUGACGCUUACAGAUGGGCCCGCGGCGCAUUAGCUAGUUGGUGAGGUAACGGCUCACCAAGGCGACGAUGCGUAGCCGACCUGAGAGGGUGAUCGGCCACACUGGGACUGAGACACGGCCCAGACUCCUACGGGAGGCAGCAGUAGGGAAUCUUCGGCAAUGGACGAAAGUCUGACCGAGCAACGCCGCGUGAGCGAUGAAGGCCUUCGGGUCGUAAAGCUCUGUUGUCAGAGAAGAACAAGUACCGGAGUAACUGCCGGUACCUUGACGGUACCUGACCAGAAAGCCACGGCUAACUACGUGCCAGCCGCCGCAGUAACAC